rnacentral:lncRNA from 10 species
AAAAGUUGUCUAUAUUCUCCCAUAGCCUUACACAUGGUAAGCAAUUCACUACUAUGAUGUUGAGGACACAAUUUUGACCCUCAAGUUUGACCUAUUUUUGCCCCAACUUUGCCCCUUGUUAGUCACCUGAGCUUAACUAACAUUACUGACCAUCGGCUUCCUUAACUCUGAGAUGGGUAUUAUAACGUUUUGGUGCCACAAAAGAAAUAGCACUUGAAUGUAAAAUUUUCUUUUUAAUUCUCAGCAAGGCAACGUAUUUCUAUAGAAAGGUGAGUCCUUACAGAUGGAGCAACGGUGAGCACACACCUGGACAAGGGAGGGAAAGGGCUGUGGCCACUGCUGCUGUGUUGUUCCCCUAUUGGCUAGGAUUAGACUGCACAGGCUAAAUUAAUUCUGAUUGGCUAAUUUAAAGAGCGUGACAGGGCGAGUGGUUUGGUGGGAAAACGUGGUUAUGCAGUGAGGAGGAUGAGUCAGGGCAGAACAGGUGGCAGAUAAUUGGAAUGUCAGGGUGGAGCAGUAAUCGGAAUGAGUCAGGGUGGAGCAGGUGAUUGAAAUGAGGGUGGAGCAGGUAAUACAAAAAGGUUGCUUUAUGAUGAAGUUUAAAAGUAGAAGGCAAAGAAUUGAAUAUACUGACAUAUUGAUUCUUUGAAAAGAAAUUUAGAACUCAUAUCUAAUGGCAUAACUUGGCAGGCUAGUUAAUGAAGUUAAGAUCAAAUCUGCAAGAAUUCUGAGAAUCAGCUUGUGCAGCUGAAACUGCUGUUGCAAAAUAAUGACUGAGACAGUGAAAGAGAUCUAACUUAACUGACUCCAUCUUGCGUCUAACCUUUAAGCUGCGGUGUUCCUUCUUGGGUGUAGGCUGAACUAACUUAGGGAGGAACUUAGUUUCUAGUUUAAAACAAAGACGAUGGCAGCCCUUUCCCAAAACAAACCUCCUUCUUGCCUGGGCACCAGACUGCCUUUGUAAGACUAAUAAAUUACAUAAGAUUAUAAAUUAUGGUUUAGGAAUCAUGUGGCUGGAGGCUACAAGAUUCUGAGCCUCCCUAAACUGUUACUAAGAUCACUGCUUGAGAUAUUUUGCAGACCCUGCACUUGAUGGAUCAGCUGACACCACCCAGAUUGAUAAACUGGUUCAUCUGAUCUUGUGGCCGCCACCCAGGAACUGACUCAGCACAAGAGGACAGCUUCAGCUUCCUAAAAUUUCAUCUCCAACCUAACCAAUCAGCACUCCUGGCUCACUGGCUUACCCCCACCCACCAAGUUGUCCUUAAAAACUCUGAUCCUUUGAGUAAUAAUAAAACUCCGGUCUCCCACACAGCAGGCUCUGCAGUGAAUUACUCUUUCUCUAUUGUAAUUCCCCUGUCUUGAUAUAUCAGCUGUGUCUAGGCAGCGGGCAAGGUGAACCCAUUGGGCAGUUACGCAGCUGCUGGAUGAACAAAUAAAUGUGUGGAAAAUGAAGAAAAACCGAGAGUCAAAGCUUACAGACUCUGCGAUGUGUCCUGGAUGCAAAGGCCACCUCCUGGAGUUUUUGCUACCUUUGCUUUUCAGCUGAAAGUAUUUUGGGAAGUCGAAGCUUGGAGAGAUUCUGUGAAUUGGUGAAGGACACAGAGCAAAGCCAGGAUUCAGAUUCAGACCUGCUUGACUCCAAGAUCAUUCCAGAAAUCUCCCUUUUCCUUUGGACCCUGUGACGUGACAGCUGGGUUCUUUCUGCUCUGAUUUCCAUGCCUGACAACCAUUUAAAUGGAAUACAAGAAUGCAGGUGCUGAUUCUUCUGAGCAAUUUUCAGAGGCCUCCUUUGCCUGCUUUCACCCAAGGGAAAUUUCUGGCCCUCAGACCACGCGUACUUGGCUCUCUGACAGUGUACCUGCACCCACCACCCUCAUGUUUUCUUAGGUUGAAAGAAAUUCACCCUUUAUCAAGAAUUAUUUAUAGUUCCUCUGGAGUGAGAGAGGAAGACAUUACCCACGCAGUGCUCUGUGGAAUCAUCUGAGCCACCACUUCUGCCUUGGGGACAUCAUCUGGGGAAGUAUCUAGAUCCUUUGGCUGAACAACGUGUUUUGAGGUCUUUAAUAUGUCACCUUAAGGAUGAGGCCUAGAGAACAUGGCCUUUUGUUGAACAGUUUGUAAGCUCUCAAAUGUGAGUAAAUGUGAGGAGGGUCUUGAGAGAUAUAGGAAGCUCAAGAAACCUAGCUAGAGUCUCUAGACUGUUGAGAAAAGUGGUGAGAAGAAAUUCCCAUUGUGGGGGAUGGGAGUGGUGGUUCAGGAGGAUUUUUGAGAAUGGGGAUAGAGAGCCUAGAAAUAAGGCCACACACCCAUGGCCAUCUGAUCUUCGACAAAGCAAGCAAUGAGUAAUGGACUCCUUGUUCAAUAAAUGGUGCCGGGUUGACUGAUUAGCCAUAUGCAGAAGAUUGAAACUGGACUCCUUCCUCACACCAUAUACAGAAAUCAACUCAAGAUGGAUUAAAGACUUAAAUGUAAAACCCAGAACUAUAAAAACUCUGGAAGACAACCUAGGCAAUACCACCCUGGAUAUAGGAACGGGCAAAGAUUUCAUGAUGAAGACACUAAAAGCAAUUGCAGCAAAAGCAAAAAUUGACAAAUGUGAUCUGAUUAAACCUAAGAGCUUCUGCACAGCAAAAGAAAUUAUCAACAGAGUAAACAGAGUAAACAACCUAUAGAAUAGGAGAAAAUAUUUGCAGACUAAGUAUCCAACAAAGGUCUCAUAUCCAGCAUCUAUAAGGAACUUAAACAAAUUUAUAAGAAAUAACUAACAAUUCCAACAAAAAGUGGGCAAAGUAUAUGAACAGACACUUUGCUAAAGUAGACAUAUAUGUGGCCAACAAGCAAAUGAAAAAAAGCUCAAUAUCAUGAUCAUUAGAGAAAUGCAAAUCAAAGCCACAAUAAGAUAUAUCAUCUCACACCAGUCAGAAUGGCUAUUAUUAAAAAGUCAAAAAAUAACCGAUGGCUGGUAAAGUUGCAGAGAAAAGGAAAUACUUAUACACUGUUAGUUGGAGUUUAAAUUAGUUCAACCAUUAUGGAAAGCAGUGUGGUGAUUCCUCAAAGAGCUAAAAACAGGACUACCAUUUGACCCAGCAAACCUAUUACUGGGUAUAUGCCCAGAGGAAUAGAAAUCAUUCUACCAUAAAAACAUGUGCAACAAAUGUUCAUUGUAGCACUAUCCAAAAUAGCAAAGACAUGGAAUCAACCUAAAUGUCCAUCAAUGACAGAUUGGAUAAAAAAUGUAGUACAUAGGUCCCAUGGAAUACUAUGCAACCAUAAGAAAGAACAAGAUCAUGUCUUUUGCAGGAACAUGAUGGAGCUGGAGGCCAUUAUCCUUAGCAAACUAAUGCAGAAACAGAAAACUAAAUAGUGCAUGCUCUUACUCAUAAGAGGGAGCUAAAUGAGGAGACAUCAUGAAUACAAAGAGGGGAACAACAGACACUGGGACCUCUUUGAGGGUGGAGGGUAGGAGGAGGGAGAGGAGCAGAAAAACAUUAAUCUUGUUGUACAGAUUAUUUUGUCACCCAGGUACUAAAUGUGGUACUAUUGGGUACCCUACCACUGUUUUAUCAAACAAGUUUCUGUAAUAGUAUAAAUCCUUUGUUGUCAUUACAACAAUGUUCAUGGCAUCUUCACCAGGAGUAAAUCUCAUCUCAAGAAACCACUUUUUUUGCUUAUCCAUAAGAAGCAACUCCUCAUCUAUUCAAAUUUGAUCAUGAGAUUGCAGCAAUCUGGUCACAUCUUCAGGUUCACUCUAAUUCAAGUUCUCUUGCUGUUUCUACCACAUCCACAGUUACUUCCUUCACUGAAAUUUUGAACCUGUCAAAAUUUGGUACCUUACUGUUGUGUACCAGGUUUAGUACCUGGGUGACAAAAUAAUCUGUACAACAGACCCCCCGUGAUACCAGUUAACCUAGGUAACAAACCUGCACAUGUACUCCUGAACCUGAAAUAAAAAAAAAAAAAAUGGGAAUUUUUAGGUUACAAGUUCUUUUUCUGUGAAAUAAGUCCCCAGCCAUUGCAUCAAAUACUCAGUAAAUCCUUCUAGCAAUAUGGGAGUGAUUUGGGCAAAAUCAGAAGAAACCCACAAAAACUCUGUUGCACAUCAUUGUGCUGAACCUCUAUUAAUCUCAGUAGGGAAGACACCAGGCUCAAGAGGCCAAAGAAGACACUCAGAGCCAGUAAAUGAGACAUGGGGUCUUAUUAGGGGCUUCCACACAAGGGAGACAGUGCAGCGACAGCGGGCUGGACAAGAUAACCACAGGGCCCAGUAGCUGCGGGCUGGAGAGGAAAACCACAACUGCCUGCAAAUGU